UACGUAGGGUGCGAGCGUUGUCCCGAAUUACUGGGCGUAAAGAGCUCGUAGGUGGUUUGUCGCGUUGUUCGUGAAAACUCACAGCUUAACUGUGGGCGUGCGGGCGAUACGGGCAGACUGGAGUACUGCAGGGGAGACUGGAAUUCCUGGUGUAGCGGUGGAAUGCGCAGAUAUCAGGAGGAACACCGGUGGCGAAGGCGGGUCUCUGGGCAGUAACUGACGCUGAGGAGCGAAAGCGUGGGGAGCGAACAGG
rnacentral:rRNA from 1 species